UUAUUUGAGAGUUUGAUCCUGGCUCAGGAUGAACGCUGGCGGCGUGCCUAACACAUGCAAGUUGAGCGAUUUACUUCGGUAAAGAGCGGCGGACGGGUGAGUAACGCGUGGGUAACCUACCCUGUACACACGGAUAACAUACCGAAAGGUAUGCUAAUACGGGAUAAUAUAUUUGAGAGGCAUCUCUUGAAUAUCAAAGGUG
rnacentral:rRNA from 1 species